rnacentral:misc_RNA from 1 species
GUACUCUCACACCCCCGAUCUUUGGCUUGGGAGUGGUGGACUUGGGUGUUGCUGCUUUACCGUGGCUCACCUCAAAUGGAUUCGUGCACCUCUUGGUUGGACAUAGUACGGCGUGAUAAGUUUCUUCGCCGGCACCUCACUAGAGGGUGGCUGAUCAGGAGCUCUGUGCUUCAAACCGUCUUCGGACAAUGACUGACA